rnacentral:rRNA from 1 species
UACGUAGGGUGCGAGCGUUGUCCGGAAUUAUUGGGCGUAAAGGGCUCGUAGGCGGUUUGUCGCGUCGGGAGUGAAAACCAGGUGCUUAACACCUGGCUUGCUUUCGAUACGGGCAGACUAGAGGUAUUCAGGGGAGAACGGAAUUCCUGGUGUAGCGGUGAAAUGCGCAGAUAUCAGGAGGAACACCGGUGGCGAAGGCGGCGAUCUGGGUAGAUACUGACGCUGAGGUGCGAAAGCGUGGGGAGCAAACAGG